CCGCUAUGCCCCGUUCCUCAGGGAAGUCCCGCCCCGCCCCUUCCACAGCCCGUGGAGUGUCCAGGGAGCGCCGGGAGCCGGAUCCCGAGAUCCCACAGUGCUUCAUCUGCUCACACCUCAUCCCAGAGCACACGGUACAGAGUUGCGUCCAGAUCGCUCUGGAACCACCCCCAGCGAGGGAAACUCCACACCCUCUCUGGGCAACCUGUUCAGUGCUCGGUCACUGAACAGCAAAGAAGUUCUUCCUCAUGUCCAGGUGGAACUCCCUUGGCAUCAGUUCCUGCCCGAGGCCUCCAAUUGCUGGGCACUCCUGAGCAGAGCCUGGUCCAUCCUCUGCCCCCUCCCUGCACACACUGACACACAUGGAUGAGGUCCCCUCUCAGUGUCUCCUCUGGAGGCUGAACAGCCCCAGCUCCCUCAGCCUUUCCUCCCCAGGGAGAUGCUCCAGUCCCUGAAUCAUCUCCACAGCCUCUGCUGGACCCACUCCAGGAGCUCCAUGUCCCUCCUGUCCUGAGGAGCCCAGGACUGGACACAGCACUCCAGAUAUGCCUCACAGGGCUGAGCAGCGGGGCAGGAUCACCCCCCUCGACCUGCUGGCAAUGCUCUUCCCAGUGCCCCCCCAGGAUUCCAUCUCUCCAGCAGAAACCUUGGCGCUCAGUCCCCUCUGGCUGUGGGGACUCACCGAGGGGCUCAUAGGUGUGAGGGGUCUCAGAGUCAGGAGUUAAAGUGGCCUUAGUAGGUGCUCAAACACAAAAAAGCAGAAUUAAGUGGAACCAUCAUAAUAAGAGGCUUUUGGAUUACUAGAGCUGUCCUGUGCAGUGCCAGGGCCCAGAAUUCCAUGGUCCUCAUUAGUCCUUUCCACCUCAGGGUAUCCCAUCAUUCUAUGAUUUAUCUCCUUCUGUCCCCCUGCCAAAGUACAAAAGUGAGAGUAUUAAAUCCUGCUGUGGUUUUAGUGCUACCUGAGCAUAAACCAGAGCAGCAGCAGUGACAGGGAAAGCUGUUAUCCCAAGGAUGCAGUGGUACAGACACCAUGCAAAUCCAGCUGCACAAGAUCAGAAGACAAAGAAGGUAAAUCUGGGAGUUCAGACUGAAAGAAUGACAAAGUACAAGCCAUCUUCUGCUUCUGUCACAGCAUGGAGCAUGUGGAACAGAGGGAAAGUUUAUCUUGAUGUCAUCCCUUGACUUGAGGAGAGUUGCUGAUGGAGGAGGACUUGCUUGGCAGACACAUUGGAUUUGUUUGACCUCAUUAGUCUGUAUGUGGAGACAAGGAACUUUGGAGCUCUCUGCACUAAAGCAGAAUUCUUACAACCUCAAGACCUGUGAGAGUAUCCACAUGUCUCCUUCACCUGCAGGCAGAGCCAGAGAAUUCACCAUGGAGCUCCCUGAGCACUGUGUACCUUCCUGCUGAGACUGAUUUUCAGGAGCACUGGAUUUGGUAUCCUGUAUCAUUCCACUUGCACUACCAAGACUGGACUGCUCAGCUCUGUACUCUGUGACUGAGCUUUAAUGUGGAUAACCUGGAGUGGGUUUCAAACCAUCCAGUGACAACAGAUUUGUCUCCAGGCAAACUAGGUCAGAUAUCCACCAUGAACUCAGAGCCAGAUUCAAUGUCUCCAGCGUCAACAUGCUCACACUCUGUACAAGGCUUGGAAGUCACGACAUAAAGCUUCUGCCUCCAGAGGCCAUGGUGUUAUUGAGAGAAUGGCCUCACAGAGAGAAAACAUGAAGGCAAAAGUCUCAAAGGAUCCUUCCAGAAGAAAGAGGAACUCUUGAAAGACUUUCAGAAGAGACUUAUCUUCAAAAAGGAAUGCUCUGUGUCUCUUCUGUUAGUAUUUUUUUUUUUUUUUUUUUUCUAGAUCUGGCAGGGCUCCAGUUUGGAGCCUUUUUGGCACAUUUACAGGCACAUUGUGGACAUAACACCCCAUUUUCUUGAUAUGGCCAGUGGUGGCAAAGCAGCUGCCAGUAAGAUAAAACUCCAUCAGCUGCUAAUGGAGGAGGGGAAAUUGUCACUUGGGAUUAACUUUGAAUAUUCCAGGACAUUUUCACCAGGCCCAUGUUCCUCUUGGCUUGCUGUAGUUUUGUUCAGCUUCCUCCAAGAAGCACAGCCAUGUGCAACCAUUUCUUCCUGGUCUGUCUUCCUCCUCCUCUUUCCCUCCUGCUAAGCUGAGACAGGGUGGAAAAAGAGCCUUGGCAAAGCUGGGCAUGGUGGGCUAAAGGCAAUUCUUGACCCCAUGGCCAAAUUUCCAGCAUUUCUAAGCUUAAAAGCAGAGCUGAAAGGAAGUGCCAUUUUCCAUCUGGGCAUGAGUAAGGCAGGUCAUGUUUCCAUGCUUUUUGCCUUUACAUAGCAGCUACACUCCUGGAAAAGGCUGAGCAUGGGCUCUACUGCAGGAGGUAAAUAGGAUGCAGCAUCCUUUUCCAUGUAGUUUGCCAUAAGGCAAAUAAUUCCUACCCUCUUUUCCUCUUGUUUUCCUGCACCUGAGGAGCCUCUUCUCCUCCCUCAGAGAAGUCAGCAUAGUCUGACCUCAAUAUAACAUCGCAUGCACCCCUUUGUACAGGUCUGAAAAAGAAAGUGUCUGGGACCUGUGGGGUUGGGAAUGAACACACCGGGAGCUUCCCAUUACAUUACACAGUGUCCCAGAGGGCAGGCUCUCAGGAAAAUAUCUGGAAGGUGUGUUGGAGCGUGAAUACUCACAAACACAGAAUCUGUGCCUAGGAAGCUGAAGCACAGCAACAUUGUGGGGCAGGGCCUCUAUAGGUCAUUAUGUCUAAACACCCACUUGAACUGGGGCUACCACCAACUCUGCAGUAGGUCCUGAAACCCUCCCAAGGCAUCUACUCCAGUCUUUUUCCACCCUCCCACCAAAAACAUAUCCCAAUGUCCCAUGUGGACUACCCAGAACAGUUCACGGCCUCCACAUCUGCCACUGCUGAGGAGAGUUCAGCUCUCCUGUGGCUUGUCAUUUUUGCAAUUCCUCUCCAAGUAGUUUUCUUUUCUCUUUAAUUCCUACCAGUCACAGGUAGGAGAGUAGACUGAGGAGAUCCAGGGACAUUGGUUUUUCUUUAGGUUCCAAUCCCUUCUUUUCAUUUCGAAGCAUUUGUAUUCUAUGUUACAAACCUAUUAAUCCACUGGUAAACAUUUAAACCUCAGAGCUGGUGCCGGGAGUUGUUUCUGCAGCUGAUAAUCCCCCAAAUGCUCUUCAGUAAUGAACAGCAAGAGGUGUUGCUACUUUGUUAUUCCCCGAAAGUGGUGUUGGCUGCAAUCUCUAAUAGCCCUGAGCAUAUCUGAAAGCUCCUUUUUCCGAUAUAUUCCCAUGGAUAUUGUGAAGUUCAACUCUAUUCUCAGCUUCUGGGAUCCCCUGGAAGCUUUCUGGAGAGCUCUAGGACCAGUGCAAUGUAUUCCUGUUAAACUAUCUGCCUGAGAGAUCAUGGAUGUCCUGGAGUCUGAGUUUAGAGCUCUUGAUGGCACAGUGAAUGGUGCAGAGAUUUAGUCAGGCCUUUUAUUGCCUUUUAUUGACCAUUAGAGGUUUUCUGGCGACAGGAUGCAGGUUCUGAACUGCUGUCAAUGUGUUUUUUAGGCUGCCCUUGAGGAUGGUUUUGCUCUCAUCUGGUCUCACCUGAUUUUGCUUUUUUAGAUGAUUUUUUUAAGACAUCACCUGCUGCCAAAACAGGCAUAGAACAUACUUAAGGUGUUAAAAUAAUUCCUUAAAGUCCUCUACGAAAUAUUCAUGAAACUGAACUCUGCAACCACCUCUGCUUUCCUCUCACACAAGAAAAAACCUAUUUCAAGCAGGGUUUUUAUCCUACUACUGUUCCAACUUGUCAGAGGAAGCCACACCAUUAAUUUUAGCCAAGUGAUCACUACACUUGUGAUUUUUUUUUGAGCUUGGUUUUUUAUAUCCAUCCUUCAUUUGAUUGCAAGUUCACAUGCUGCAUUUUAAGCAAGAAAUUCAGAGUCUCCCAGCUACGUGAACAGAGCUAAUCUUGUCCAAGAACAGACUAUCACUACAUUAUAAAUAAUUGUCUGCAGGCCAGGAUUUCUUUACUACUCUUGAUUAGGUUUUGUUGCCAGUAAAAACAACAUUCACUAGCUGGCCUGUCAAAAAUAUCCUGAUGCAGCAUAAGUAAAUCCAAGAAGCCAUUGGUCUAUUGCCCUGUCCAAGAACUGUUUUGAAUAGGGAAGAAUUGCAAAAAAAACCACUUGAGAACUCCUGAAAAAGAGAGCAUUCACCAAGGAAUGAUUCAUAAGUAACCUAUUGAUAAAGCUGCUUCAUGCUCCAAGAGUUACUACAUCUCGUCCAGCAAUUUUGACUUAUCUAAUGGUAAAACUUCCUGUUUUUGUUUUAAAUGGCUGUAAUUUCCUCCCCUGAUGUCUGAAGCACCACGCAAUGCCUCCAGAGACUGGGGGGCUGCAUGAGAGCAAGGCCAUGAAGCAGGUGACAGAUUUCUGCUGCCCUUGCCUGCAAUAAUGUUUGCAGGUGUGCAUUAACAUGAGGGAGGCAAUCAAAAAUAAAAGUAACAAAUGCAUCGCAAUUAAAAAUG